rnacentral:rRNA from 1 species
UACGUAGGGUGCAAGCGUUAAUCGGAAUUACUGGGCGUAAAGCGUGCGCAGGCGGUCCGUUAAGACAGAUGUGAAAUCCCCGGGCUUAACCUGGGAACUGCAUUUGUGACUGGCGGACUCGAGUAUGGCAGAGGGGGGGUAGAAUUCCACGUGUAGCAGUGAAAUGCGUAGAGAUGUGGAGGAAUACCGAUGGCGAAGGCAGCCCCCCUGGGCCAAUACUGACGCUCAUGC